rnacentral:rRNA from 1 species
UACGUAUGGUGCAAGCGUUAUCCGGAUUUACUGGGUGUAAAGGGAGCGCAGGCGGCACGGCAAGCCUGAUGUGAAAGCCCACGGCCCAACCGCGGGACUGCAUUGGGAACUACCGGGCUGGAGUGCCGGGGAGGUAGGCGGAAUUCCUAGUGUAGCGGUGAAAUGCGUAGAUAUUAGGAGGAACACCAGUGGCGAAGGCGGCCUACUGGACGGUGACUGACGCUGAGGCUCGAAAGCGUGGGGAGCAAACAGG